GAAUCCCGUCUUUGACAUGGACUACCAGCAUGCCAAGGUGCACUCUCAAAGAGUCGAGUUGUUUGGGAAUGCAGCUCAAAAUGGGUGGUAAAUGCCAUCUAAAGCUAAAUAUUGGCGAGAGACCGAUAGCGGACAAGUACCGUGAGGGAAAGAUGAAAAGAACUUUGGAAAGAGAGUUAAACAGUACGUGAAAUUGCUGAAAGGGAAACGCUUAAAGUCAGUCGCAUUAGCUGGAAAUCAGGCUUGCUUUUGCAAGGUGCACUUUCUAGUUGAUGGGUCAGCAUCAAUUUUGAUCGUUGGAUAAAGUCAUUGGGAAUGUGGCAUCUUUGGAUGUGUUAUAGCCCAGUGUUGAAUACAGCGGUCAGGAUUGAGGAAUUCAGCAUGCCUCUAGGGGCCAGGUUUCGACCAUGUUCAUGCUUAGGAUGCUGGCAUAAUGGCUUUAAUCGACCCGUCUUGAAACACGGACCAAGGAGUCUAACAUGCCUGCGAGUGUUUGGGUGAAAAACCCAUACGCACAAUGAAAGUGAAAGUUGAGAUCCUUAGGGAGCAUUGACGCCCGGACCAGACCUUCUGUGACGGAUCCGCGGUAGAGCAUGUAUGUUGGGACCCGAAAGAUGGUGAACUAUGCCUGAAUAGGGUGAAGCCAGAGGAAACUCUGGUGGAGGCUCGUAGCGAUUCUGACGUGCAAAUCGAUCGUCAAAUUUGGGUAUAGGGGCGAAAGACUAAUCGAACCAUCUAGUAGCUGGUUCCUGCC
rnacentral:rRNA from 1 species